AUACGUAGGGGGCGAGCGUUGUCCGGAAUGAUUGGGCGUAAAGGGCGCGUAGGCGGCCUGUUAAGUCUGGAGUGAAAGUCCUGUUUUCAAGAUGGGAAUUGCUUUGGAUACUGAUGGGCUUGAGUGCAGGAGAGGUUAUCGGAAUUCCCGGUGUAGCGGUGAAAUGCGUAGAGAUCGGGAGCAACACCAGUGGCGAAGGCGGGUAACUGGACUGCAACUGACGCUGAGGCGCGAAAGUGUGGGGAGCAAACAGGAUUAGAUACCCUGGUAGUCCACACUGUAAACGAUGAAUGCUAGGUGUAAGAGGUAUCGACCCCUUUUGUGCCGGAGUUAACACAAUAAGCAUUCCGCCUGGGGAGUACGGCCGCAAGGUUGAAACUCAAAGGAAUUGACGGGG
rnacentral:rRNA from 1 species